UGGCAACAACUUUUCAUUGUAGUCCAGCAAAUUUGGGAUGGAAUUUUGGAGGGGACCUAGCAUCAGGCUUCCAGAGUACCAGUAACAGAGAGGUUAUCCUGCAAAAAAUCCAGUCUUUCGUGGAAGGAGGGGCUCGGUUAGGAGGGCCCAAGGGUGAGGGAGGUGAGGAUGUCCGUGAGGUUCUCUAUACGACAUUAACUAUCUUCCUUCAUGCUCUAAUGGAUUACACAAAACGUCUGUAUCCAGAUUUCAAUCAGG